AUUGAACGCUGGCGGCAGGCUUAACACAUGCAAGUCGAGCGAGUGGCGGACGGGUGAGUAAUGUCUGGGAAACUGCCUGAUGGAGGGGGAUAACUACUGGAAACGGUAGCUAAUACCGCAUACCAUCAGAUGUGCCCAGAUGGGAUUAGCUAGUUGGUGGGGUAAUGGCUCACCUAGGCGACGAUCCCUAGCUGGUCUGAGAGGAUGACCAGCCACACUGGAACUGAGACACGGUCCAGACUCCUACGUGAGGCAGCAGUGGGGAAUAUUGCGCAAUGGGCGAAAGCCUGAUGCAGCCAUGCCGCGUGUGUGAAGAAGGCCUUCGGGUUGUAAAGCACUUUUAUUGGGGAGGCGGUACCUGAUCAAAAAGCAACGGCUAACUCCGUGCCAGCAGCCGCGGUAAUUC
rnacentral:rRNA from 1 species